GGCUUCGUAGCUCAACUGGUAGAGCGGUUUCCGCGCCUGAGUAUGGUGUUUCUGUCGCUGGUUCGAAUCCAGCCGAAGCCC